UAUACUAAAAAAAAAAAAAAAAUUGGAACGAUCCAGAGAAGAUUAGCAUGGCCCCUGCGCAAGGAUGACACGCAAAUCGUGAAGCGUUCCAUUAAAAA
rnacentral:snRNA from 1 species